GUUUCGCCUAGAGUUCUCCUGAUCACUUCAUUGGGACUUCAAAAAUGCCCUUAAAAUGGAAGGGUGUUAAUUCCUACUGAAGUGUUUGGGGGAACUCCAGGAGCCAC
rfam:Nicotiana attenuata strain TT chromosome 8, whole genome shotgun sequence.